GACGAACGUUGGCGGCGUGCCUAAUACAUGCAAGUCGAGCGAGCGGAACUAACAGAUUUACUUCGGUAAUGACGUUAGGAAAGCGAGCGGCGGAUGGGUGAGUAACACGUGGGGAACCUGCCCCAUAGUCUGGGAUACCACUUGGAAACAGGUGCUAAUACCGGAUAAGAAAGCAGAUCGCAUGAUCAGCUUUUAAAAGGCGGCGUAAGCUGUCGCUAUGGGAUGGCCCCGCGGUGCAUUAGCUAGUUGGUAAGGUAAAGGCUUACCAAGGCGAUGAUGCAUAGCCGAGUUGAGAGACUGAUCGGCCACAUUGGGACUGAGACACGGCCCAAACUCCUACGGGAGGCAGCAGUAGGGAAUCUUCCACAAUGGACGCAAGUCUGAUGGAGCAACGCCGCGUGAGUGAAGAAGGUUUUCGGAUCGUAAAGCUCUGUUGUUGGUGAAGAAGGAUAGAGGUAGUAACUGGCCUUUAUUUGACGGUAAUCAACCAGAAAGUCACGGCUAACUACGUGCCAGCAGCCGCGGUAAUACCUAAGUGGCAAGCGUUGUCCGGAUUUAUUGGGCGUAAGCGAGCGCAGGCGGAAGAUAAGUCUGAUGUGAAAGCCCUCGGCUUAACCGAGGAACUGCAUCGGAAACUGUUUUUCUUGAGUGCAUUAGAGGAGAGUGGAACUCCAUGUGUAGCGGUGGAAUGCGUAGAUAUAUGGAAGAACACCAGUGGCGAAGGCGGCUCUCUGGUCUGCAACUGACGCUGAGGCUCGAAAGCAUGGGUAGCGAACAGGAUUAGAUACCCUGGUAGUCCAUGCCGUAAACGAUGAGUGCUAAGUGUUGGGAGGUUUCCGCCUCUCAGUGCUGCAGCUAACGCAUUAAGCACUCCGCCUGGGGAGUACGACCGCAAGGUUGAAACUCAAAGGAAUUGACGGGGGCCCGCACAAGCGGUGGAGCAUGUGGUUUAAUUCGAAGCAACGCGAAGAACCUUACCAGGUCUUGACAUCUAGUGCCAUUUGUAGAGAUACAAAGUUCCCUUCGGGGACGCUAAGACAGGUGGUGCAUGGCUGUCGUCAGCUCGUGUCGUGAGAUGUUGGGUUAAGUCCCGCAACGAGCGCAACCCUUGUUAUUAGUUGCCAGCAUUAAGUUGGGCACUCUAAUGAGACUGCCGGUGACAAACCGGAGGAAGGUGGGGAUGACGUCAAGUCAUCAUGCCCCUUAUGACCUGGGCUACACACGUGCUACAAUGGGCAGUACAACGAGAAGCGAGCCUGCGAAGGCAAGCGAAUCUCUGAAAGCUGUUCUCAGUUCGGACUGCAGUCUGCAACUCGACUGCACGAAGCUGGAAUCGCUAGUAAUCGCGGAUCAGCACGCCGCGGUGAAUACGUUCCCGGGCCU
rnacentral:rRNA from 1 species